UACAGAGGGGGCAAGCGUUGUCCGGAAUUACUGGGCGUAAAGCGCGUGUAGGCGGGACGGUUAGUCGGACGUGAAAGGCUGGGGCUCAACCCCAGAUCGCCGUUCGAAACUGCCGUUCUUGAGGGUCGAAGAGGAGAGUGGAAUUCCUGGUGUAGCGGUGAAAUGCGUAGAGAUCAGGAGGAACACCCAUGGCGAAGGCAGCUCUCUGGUCGACAUCUGACGCUGAGACGCGAAAGCGUGGGGAGCGAACGGG
rnacentral:rRNA from 1 species